rnacentral:rRNA from 1 species
CAGGGAUUGCCCUAGUAACGGCGAGUGAAGCGGCAACAGCUCAAAUUUGAAAUCUGGCCUCGGCCCGAGUUGUAAUUUGCAGAGGAUGCUUUUGGUGCGGUGCCUUCCGAGUUCCCUGGAACGGGACGCCACAGAGGGUGAGAGCCCCGUAUGGUCGGACACCAAUCCUGUGUAAAGCUCCUUCGACGAGUCGAGUAGUUUGGGAAUGCUGCUCUAAAUGGGAGGUAAAUCUCUUCUAAAGCUAAAUACCGGCCAGAGACCGAUAGCGCACAAGUAGAGUGAUCGAAAGAUGAAAAGCACCUUGAAAAGGGGGUUAAACAGUACGUGAAAUUGUUGAAAGGGAAGCACUUGUGACCAGACUUGGGCCGGGCGGCUCAUCAGGGGUUCUCCCCUGUGCAUUCCGCCCGGUACAGGCCAGCAUCGGUUCUUACCGGGGGAUAAGAACGGCAGGAACGUGGCUCCCCCUCGGGGGAGUGUUAUAGCCUGCCGUACGAUACCCUGGCGGGGACCGAGGUUCGCGCUUCCGCAAGGAUGCUGGCGUAAUGGUUACUAGUGACCCGUCUUGAAACACGGACCAAGGAGUCGUCCAUUAGAGCGAGCGUUUGGGUGUAAAACCCGCACGCGUAAUGAAAGUGAAAUUAGGUGAGAGCUUCGGCGCAUCAUCGACCGAUCCUGAUGUUCUCGGAUGGAUUUGAGUAAGAGUUUUAACGGACGGACCCGAAAGACAGUGAACUAUGCUUGUAUAGGGUGAAGCCAGAGGAAACUCUGGUGGAGGCUCGCAGCGGUUCUGACGUGCAAAUCGAUCGUCAAAUAUGAGCAUGGGGGCGAAAGACUAAUCGAAC